rnacentral:ribozyme from 1 species
ACAUCUUCCCUCGGCGCAAGGCUGGACAAGAAAAGCGCAAUGUUGGCUCAGGCUCAGCAGUUGUAUUGACAUUGGAGGUUCUCCAGAAGUUCUGCGAAGUGCCGCUUGUCCAGGCUGCCAAGAGUCUGGGGAUUUCUAAGA